UCGCCAGAGCCUCUGAAACCCGGGUGCUGGCCGCCCAGAGCGCGCCAGGGUGCCCAACGCGGAUCCGUAGGGAUGCGGGCUUUCGGCUUUCAUCAGGAGAGAAGACUGUGGCAAAGGGGCAGGAAUUAACCUCUAAGGUAUUAAAAGUGUGCAAAUGAGUUUGCAAUAGGUGCGUGGAAUAAGGAAAUGGAGUUGCUCAGCCUGAAGGGGCGGGGUAUUGCUUCAAUGUAGGUGCUCCGAACCCCAUGCGCCUACAGGGCCUCCAUGGAACUGGGGUCCAGUUUCCUUUUGUUGCAGAUCUCUAUAGGAGAACUUCACCAGCCGGACUCCGAGAAGCCCCUUCUCUGUGACGAGUGAAAUCAGAACCCUGAACCCCGGGGCCUCUCCCUCUGGAAAGCCCUCCCCCCAUGCCCGUCCUCAGGCCAGGUCUGUGGCUCCCUCCCUUGCACACACUCAGCGCAGGUCUGACAGCGCCCUUCUUCCUCCUGGGACCAGAAGUGGCGAAUAUGGUGCAAGAGAGGUGGAAUGGUGCACAGCUUCUGAGACCCUGCAGCUAACCCGCUUUAUCCCCCUUUGGAAUGCUGCAGCCAUGAGAACAAGCCCCAGCUAGCCACUGGAAAGACCACAUGAAGUUCAACCAAGACUCCUGGCUGACAGCCACCAACUACAAAACAAGGAGGAGCCCUUCGAGCUGAGGACAAUCCAUUCUUGUCUCACGGAGCUUCGACAGAGGAAGGGUCUUGGAGUAGGGCUGGGCUUGGCUUGGUAGGGGCUCAGCCAGGCAUUUAGAGAAAACAGCCUGGGGACACCCCGAUGGAUGUGGUAAUGGUCAGGCCUGCACAACGCACUGGGAGCAGUGGGGUGCCUGGACCUCAUGGCCACAGCAGGAGCCUCAUCCCUUACUUGCAAAGGCAGAGUAGCUGCUUCAAAGUAGACUGGGUGCUGCUGGGGAAGGGGAGCCUCAAGGAGCCUGCUGGGCUUCCAGGGCAGUUUGAGGGUAUGAAGAACAGGGGUCUGAGGGACACAAGUGAAGUCUGGUCAGGAUCCUGUAGCUAUUGAGGAAGGGAUGGAAGGCUUUUACAGAAAAUACAUGGAUCUGCUCAUCUCUGCCAUGAACAUUAACAAACCACAGCAUCCGGCAUGUGCUGGUUGCUAUGGGACCCCAGCUGGUUGCUAUGGGACCCCCUUAUAAGGGUGGAACUUCACAGUGUACAUCUUGCAAAGUGCUUUCUCCCACAUUUCAGAGCACUUCCCACCCCCUGAUCAAUUUAGAAAUCACCCCUCUCUCACACUGGAUUGUUGACUCCAUGAGGAAGAAACAUCUUGACCACCAGCUGCAGCAGCCAUCCUGUGACCCCAAGGAAAGUUUAAGAGGAUUGAAGAGAUGCCAGUCCAAACCCGGAUGUUGUCCAAAAACUGAACCAAAGCCAGUGCUGCCUGCUUGUGAUCGUGUUCAGCGAGAAAAACAAGUACCUAUUUAUUCAAACCAUUCUUUACUCAAGUUUUCUGUUACUUGAACCGGAAACCAUUCCUAUGUAAUGUGAGAAUGAAAAAUUAAAGGAGUUAAAGAAAAAAGCCCUUGGUGAAGAAAAGCAGCUUUCAAAUUGGAAGGUCUCAUUUAGUACCAUAUU